UUUUUUUCUUUUUAUAAAUAUUCGUUUUCGGUAUAGGGUAGAAUCAGUGUUUCUCUCAAGAGAAUACAGCGAUCAUCCACCACGCGAAGAGAUGCUUAUCAUCUUUAUGAAGAUUUUUCUUGGAUUUUAUUCUUAAAAAAUAUUUGUGACCACGCGCAAUGUGGUUAUAUAGAAUCAGUGUUUGCUUCGUAACAGUAUUUUGAAUAUAUUUUUAAAGCGCAAUAGCUUUAAUUAAAUUUAAUAUAUAUAUAUAUAUAUAAUUGCACGCGAAAUUAGAAUCAGUGCUUGUUCGCCGAUUAGACAGAAUAUAUACGAACGCGUUAUUAGUUUCUUAUUUUGUUAUUUUUUUAUUUUAAAUAUUCGUUUUCGGUAUAGGGUAGAGUCAGUGCUUCUCUCAAGAGAAUAAAGUGAUCAUCCAUCACGCGAAGAGAUUUCUUCUUCAUCUUCCUACAUGAUGACAACCUUCUUCUCGAUGACUUCUGGGCUACAAUAACAGGGAAGGCGUUCGUCGCAUCAUAUGAUUUAAUUGGUCAUAGUAGAUCUCGAAGGCGGGAAAAAUUCCAAUAUGGACGCCAUGUCUUUCUUGGUGACUUUCUUUCGUGAAAAUAUUUGUGACCGCGCGCAAUGCGGUUAAUAGAAUCAGUAUUUGCUUCGUCAUAGUAUAUUUUUAAUAUUUUUUAGAGCACAAUAGCUCUGAUUAAAUUUAAUUAGAAUAAUCAAACGCGACUAUAGAAGCAGUGUUUGUUCGCCGAUUAUAAUUUAUGUACGGACGCGUUAUUAGUUUCUUAUUUUUAUUUUUUUUUCUUUUUAUAAAUAUUCGUUUUCGGUAUAGGGUAGAAUCAGUGUUUCUCUCAAGAGAAUACAGCGAUCAUCCACCACGCGAAGAGAUGCUUAUCAUCUUUAUGAAGAUUUUUCUUGGAUUUUAUUCUUAAAAAAUAUUUGUGACCACGCGCAAUGUGGUUAUAUAGAAUCAGUGUUUGCUUCGUAACAGUAUUUUGAAUAUAUUUUUAAAGCGCAAUAGCUUUAAUUAAAUUUAAUAUAUAUAUAUAUAUAUAAUUGCACGCGAAAUUAGAAUCAGUGCUUGUUCGCCGAUUAGACAGAAUAUAUACGAACGCGUUAUUAGUUUCUUAUUUUGUUAUUUUUUUAUUUUAAAUAUUCGUUUUCGGUAUAGGGUAGAGUCAGUGCUUCUCUCAAGAGAAUAAAGUGAUCAUCCAUCACGCGAAGAGAUUUCUUCUUCAUCUUCCUACAUGAUGACAACCUUCUUCUCGAUGACUUCUGGGCUACAAUAACAGGGAAGGCGUUCGUCGCAUCAUAUGGUGAGUCGCAUGCUUUUUGGUUCCUCCGGUCACUCAACCAUGUCGUAGGAUGAAAGAUCCGAAUCGACACGAGUGAUUGGUUGUAUACGUAGAAUUUUGCACGAGCACAAUGACCGCGGGUAUUUACUUAUAAUAAAUACCCGUGAGUAGUAACAAUU